GGCAUCGCUGCAAGAUCCGGAGUAC
rnacentral:piRNA from 1 species